rnacentral:rRNA from 1 species
CCAGCAGCCGCGGUAAUUCCAGCUCCAAUAGCGUAUAUUAAAAUUGUUGCAGUUAAAAAGCUCGUAGUUGAAUUUCUGCUAAAAAUAACCGGUCUGCUUUUAAUAAAGGUGGUAUCUUGGUGUGUUUUUAGCAAUAAUGUCCUUUGAAAUGUUUUUUACUUCAUUGUAAUAAAUUAUUUUCAGGAUUUUUACUUUGAGAAAAUUAGAGUGUUUCUAGCAGGCUAACGCUUUGAAUACUGCAGCAUGGAAUAA